UACGUAGGGGCUAGCGUUGUCCGGAUUUAUUGGGCGUAAAGAGCGUGUAGGCGGCCAGAUAGGUCCGUUGUGAAAACCCGAGGCUUAACCUCGGGACGUCGAUGGAAACCAUUUGGCUAGAGUCCGGAAGAGGAGAGUGGAAUUCCUGGUGUAGCGGUGAAAUGCGCAGAUAUCAGGAAGAACACCCGUGGCGAAGGCGGCUCUCUGGGACGGUACUGACGCUGAGACGCGAAAGCGUGGGGAGCGAACAGG
rnacentral:rRNA from 1 species